rnacentral:rRNA from 1 species
GACGAACGCUGGCGGCGUGCUUAACACAUGCAAGUCGAACGGAAAGGCCCUGCUUUUGUGGGGUGCUCGAGUGGCGAACGGGUGAGUAACACGUGAGUAACCUGCCCUUGACUUUGGGAUAACUUCAGGAAACUGGGGCUAAUACCGGAUAGGAGCUCCUGCUGCAUGGUGGGGGUUGGAAAGUUUCGGCGGUUGGGGAUGGACUCGCGGCUUAUCAGCUUGUUGGUGGGGUAGUGGUUUACCAAGGCUUUGACGGGUAGCCGGCCUGAGAGGGUGACCGGCCACAUUGGGCCUGAGAUACGGCCCAGACUCCUACGGGAGGCAGCAGUGGGGAAUAUUGCACAAUGGGCGGAAGCCUGAUGCAGCAACGCCGCGUGCGGGAUGACGGCCUUCGGGUUGUAAACCGCUUUCGCCUGUGACGAAGCGUGAGUGACGGUAAUGGGUAAAGAAGCACCGGCUAACUACGUG